GUGUAUUUACAAAAAUGCCAUCGCGUCCCUUCAAAAUUACGACGUUUUGAUAAAAGAAUGUUAUUUAAGGCGGAAUGCUAUUUAAGGAGAAUGUUCUUGAUCCUUACCGAUAUAUAUAUACACUGUGUGUAAGCGGUUUAAAACAACAUAAUUCUGAUUAAUAAAAUGGGGAAGGCACAAUUAUUUAUUGUAAAAGAAACUAGUGAGAUG
rnacentral:lncRNA from 1 species